CAAUUGCUGGAGAGAGUUACGGCAGUUCAGUUCGUGCACCUUGAGUUCCGCCUGUCAGAGCACUUCGGAACUGCUUCAGCCACACAAGCCCUUGAAGGAUAGCUAGGGUUUCGCCGAUGCACACCGAUUGGGCGUGAAUUUUUUGCGCGAAGCCAUCGAUGCAGACCCCGUUCGCUCCUCUGCAUAUACCAGCGAUAGAGCACUCCAAAUUCCGUCCCUGCCAAGAGCAAUCAACAUUUAGCUUCAAAGAACCCGGAUCUGGAGGUACCCAUGUGUCCUGUUUAGAGGGUAUUGCGGGCCUUCCAUAUUAGCCAAAGAAGAUGCGCAAAGAUCGCCUUUUGGUGUGCUGAGAUCCCAGAGAAAAGCACGAAGAGGUGCUCGGAUGAUUCUGGAAAUUGAUGGCAGAAGGAACAAGUUGGCUCAGAGUUGUAAAGCACUAUGGCUUGACUACCAUCUGUAGAAGAGUUGCUGUUCGAAUCAUCCCCUGAUGGUAUAAUAGGAGUUUCAGGAACCAUAUCCUCUUCUUCUAAGCAAUCAGCCAAAUACACUCCUCAAAGACACGAA